GACGAACCGUGCGAACGUUGUUCGGAAUCACUGGGCUUAAAGGGCGCGUAGGCGGCCCGCCGCGUCCGGGGUGAAAUCCUCCCGCUCAACGGGAGAACGGCCUCGGAUACGGGCGGGCUGGAGGGGGGUAGGGGCAGGCGGAACUGUGGGUGGAGCGGUGAAAUGCGUUGAGAUCCACAGGAACUCCGGUGGCGAAGGCGGCCUGCUGGACCCCAUCUGACGCUGAGGCGCGAAAGCCAGGGGAGCGAACGGG
rnacentral:rRNA from 1 species